rnacentral:rRNA from 1 species
AUUGAACGCUGGCGGCAUGCCUUACACAUGCAAGUCAAACGGUAACAGGUCUUCGGAUGCUGACGAGUGGCGAACGGGUGAGUAAUGCAUCGGAACGUGCCCAGUAGUGGGGGAUAGCCCGGCGAAAGCCGGAUUAAUACCGCAUACGACCUGAGGGGGAAAGGGGGGGAUCGCAAGACCUCUCGCUAUUGGAGCGGCCGGUGUCAGAUUAGCUAGUUGGUGGGGUAAAGGCCUACCAAGGAAACGAUCUGUAGUUGGUCUGAGAGGACGACCAGCCACACUGGGACUGAGACACGGCCCAGACUCCUACGGGAGGCAGCAGUGGGGAAUUUUGGACAAUGGGCGCAAGCCUGAUCCAGCAAUGCCGCGUGCAGGAAGAAGGCCUUCGGGUUGUAAACUGCUUUUGUCAGGGAAGAAAUCUUCUGGGUUAAUACCUCGGGAGGAUGACGGUACCUGAAGAAUAAGCACCGGCUAACUACGUGCCAGCCGCCGCCGUAACAC